AAACGACUCUCGGCAACGGAUAUCUCGGCUCUUGCAUCGAUGAAGAACGUAGCGAAAUGCGAUACUUGGUGUGAAUUGCAGAAUCCCGUGAACCAUCGAGUCUUUGAACGCAAGUUGCGCCUGAAGCCAUUAGGCCAAGGGCACGCCUGCCUGGGCGUCACA
rnacentral:rRNA from 1 species